UUUCCGUAGGUGAACCUGCGGAAGGAUCAUUAAAGUUAUAGUCCCCCGGCCCUCAGGGCUGGGGUCUUCUAUACCACCCUUUGUUUAUUACACCUUUGUUGCUUUGGCAGGCCUGCCCUCGGGCUGCUGGCUCCGGCCGGCUCGCGUCUGCCAGAGGACCUAAACUCUGUUUGUAUAUGAAGUCUGAGUACUAUAUAAUAGUUAAAACUUUCAACAACGGAUCUCUUGGUUCUG
rnacentral:misc_RNA from 1 species